GCGCCCAUAGCUCAGCUGGAUAGAGCGUUGGACUACGAAUCCAAAGGUCGCAGGUUCGACUCCUGCUGGGCGCGCCA
rnacentral:tRNA from 1 species